UUAAGGUCGCGUCGACGCGUCCAAGCUCUCUCGAAGGCGAUUUCGCUCUCAAGGACAACUACGAACGGCGAAUAAGACGCAAUAUCUUAGGACACGUGGUGACCGAUGCGCACGUCUCCAACCAGUCUGAGAACCGAUACGGAAUCCCAAAGAGAGAAGCGCCGUUGGCUUAUGCGUGAGCUCCACAACACGUAACUUCCACGCGUAGGAUAUUCCUCUUCCUUCGAUUGACGGGCAUCACUUAAUCACUCUCAAAUAUGACUCAAAAGAGACAACGAAGGAGAAAGAGAGAGAGAGAGAGAGAGAGGGA